rnacentral:sRNA from 1 species
GACACUGGGUCCCCUAGGAGCCUCCCCAGGCUUAAUGAUUGUCCAGAAGGUGGCUAUAAAGGGAGCUUGGGAGGCAGGGUGGAGGAGGGAGCAGAAAAAACCCAACUCAGCAGAUCUGGAAACUGUGAGAGCGGCAAGCAGGAGCUGUGGUCAGAGGCUGUGCGUCUUGGCUGGUAGGGCCUGCUCUUUUCUACCAUGGCAGCCCAGGGCUAUGGCUAUUAUCGCACUGUGAUCUUCUCAGCCAUGUUUGGGGGCUACAGCCUGUAUUACUUCAAUCGCAAGACCUUCUCCUUUGUCAUGCCAUCAUUGGUGGAAGAGAUCCCUUUGGACAAGGAUGAUUUGGGAGGGACAAGGUCCCUGACUCCAAUCCUGAGCCCUUCGCCCCAUGUUGGGUGGUGGAGCAACAGAACUGCUAGAGGCCCGGGACUGGCAUCCAGGGGGAGGGCUCAUCACCAGCAGCCAGUCGGCAGCUUAUGCUAUCAGCAAGUUUGUCAGUGGGGUGCUGUCUGACCAGAUGAGUGCUCGCUGGCUCUUCUCUUCUGGGCUGCUCCUGGUUGGCCUGGUCAACAUAUUCUUUUCCUGGAGCUCCACAGUACCUGUCUUUGCUGCCCUCUGGUUCCUUAAUGGCCUGGCCCAGGGGCUGGGCUGGCCCCCAUGUGGGAAGGUCCUGCGGAAGUGGUUUGAGCCAUCUCAGUUUGGCACUUGGUGGGCCAUCCUAUCAACCAGCAUGAACCUGGCUGGAGGGCUGGGCCCUAUCCUGGCAACCAUCCUCGCCCAGAGCUACAGCUGGCGCAGCACGCUGGCCCUGUCUGGGGCACUGUGUGUGGUUGUCUCCUUCCUCUGUCUCCUGCUCAUCCACAAUGAACCUGCUGAUGUUGGACUCCGCAACCUGGACCCCAUGCCCUCUAAGGGCAAGAAGGGCUCCUUGAAGGAGGAGAGCACCCUACAGGAGCUGCUGCUGUCCCCUUACCUGUGGGUGCUCUCCACUGGUUACCUUGUGGUGUUUGGAGUAAAGACCUGCUGUACUGACUGGGGCCAGUUCUUCCUUAUCCAGGAGAAAGGACAGUCAGCCCUUGUAGGUAAGAUGAGCAUGGGGACAAGGGUGGGCAUAAGGAGCAGGAACCAAUGCAGGGGAUGGAAAUUCAGGCCUUGCUUCCUUUUAUCCUCUUUAUUCGUUCCUUGAGGCCGGGCACUACUCAGGCAGCUAUGGCCAGUCACCCAUGGGAACCCUGUACCUCUCCAGGUUUAAGCCAUUGUGGGACAACCCCAAUGUGUAACACCCUCCCACCCUUCCCUUCCCUCUUCCCACCACAACUCCCCACUGCAGGUAGCUCCUACAUGAGUGCCCUG